CAUCGGCUAACUCCGUGCCAGCAGCCGCGGUAAUACGGAGGAUCCGAGCGUUAUCCGGAUUUAUUGGGUUUAAAGGGAGCGUAGGCGGCACGCCAAGUCAGCGGUGAAAGUUCGCGGCUCAACCCGGAGAGUGCAGUUGAUACUGGGGGUCUAGAGUACACUAGAGGCAGGCGGAAUUCGUGGUGUAGCGGUGAAAUGCAUAGAUAUCACGCAGAACUCCGAUUGCGAAGGCAGCCUGCUGGGGUGUAACAGACGCUGAGGCUCGAAAGCGUGGGUAUCGAACAGGAUUAGAUACCCUGGUAGUCCACACAGUAAACGAUGAAUACUCGCUGUUUGCGAUACAAAGUAAGCGGCCCAGCGAAAGCGUUAAGUAUUCCACCUGGGGAGUACG
rnacentral:rRNA from 1 species